AACGCCUCACCCGACGCCACUCCUCGCGUCGUCAUCUCCUCCAUUGCCUUAACCGCACGCGGCGAUUUUCCUUCUCCCUGAGCGUACAAAGCCAUCUCUUCCUCCUUGAGCUGAUCCUCUUCUUUUCCCCUCUCCACUGCCGUAGUAGCCAUCGCCUUCUCUAGGGUAUCAUCGUCGGAUUUCCAGAGACGUCGGCUUAGCUUCAACCACGAGCAGGUUACCGAGGGGCAGACUUUGCCUCAUCUUACUCAUGUCUUCAUCGCCAUUGACAGCCACGGUCAAGCGAGCAUGCCCUAGGUGCUGCCUUCUCCCAUCGCAGUGCUUCGUCGUCGCUGCACGAGCAGUGCCGACUCUCCCUUCCCCUCGUGUCGCCUCCUGUCGCCACGGCUAGACAUCGCUCGCUAGCAUCGAUCAAAACGACAACCUGUGCCCUGGGUCGCCGAUUGCUUCUUCUCCAUCGCGACACUGCUAUUGGCCAACACCGCCGGUCCAUGCCCUCUCCCCCUAUCACUGCCGAUCUCACGCCUCAGCGUUGAUUACUGAUCACCAGAGAGGACUGAGCCACCUCCAAGCCCUAGUCUCACCCUCUUCUGAUCUUCUGCCCUAGCACCACUGUCGAUGCCAACAACCACCAUCAGACCCUUUUUGAUUCUUCACAGCCAAUCGAGGGUUUCCUGUGGUCAGAUUGAGGGUUAGGCAGUGGCGUAUCUUCUUGUCCAGCAGAGAGGUUACUUUGUUGUGGAGUUUUCUUGGAUCCGACAGUCACUCCUUCCAGCAACCAACAACCCUAAUUGGGCAGCAACUCUUUGAUUCUAGCAGCAAGAACGACUGUGAACUUGAGGUUGAGGCUGUCCGGAGAUCUCCAGUCGCUAGUCCCCCUGCAGUUCACGAGGAUAUUUGUUUGGUUUUAUUUUUAUUGUACUAUCUAAACUUGUACUAGUUUUGUUUCUAUGGAUAUGGUAUGGUUUUGUUUUAUUUGUCGAUGGAUUUUAUUGGAUUUGUUCUACUACAUGCCUGCCUAGAUGGUAGAAGAGGUGAGUUGAUUUUAUCGUUGUGAUUUGUGUUUUAUAGGUGUAGUGGAAUAGGAUAUCUGAUUUAUGUUU